rnacentral:rRNA from 1 species
GAUGAACGCUAGCGAUAGGCCUAACACAUGCAAGUCGAGGGGCAGCAUAAGGAAGUAGCAAUACUUUCUGGUGGCGACCGGCGCACGGGUGAGUAACACGUAUGCAACCUGCCUUCAACAAGGGGAUAACCCGUUGAAAGACGGACUAAUACCCUAUAACACAGGGGUCCCGCAUGGGAAUAUUUGUUAAAGGACAACCGGUUGAAGAUGGGCAUGCGUUCCAUUAGCUAGUUGGCGGGGUAACGCCCACCAAGGCAACGAUGGAUAGGGGAACUGAGAGGUUUAUCCCCCACACUGGUACUGAGACACGGACCAGACUCCUACGGGAGGCAGCAGUGAGGAAUAUUGGUCAAUGGACGCAAGUCUGAACCAGCCACGUCGCGUGAAGGAAGACGGCCCUACGGGUUGUAAACUUCUUUUGCAAGGGAAUAAAGUGGGCCACGUGUGGCCUUUUGCAAGUACCUUGCGAAUAAGGAUCGGCUAAC